rnacentral:rRNA from 1 species
CGAGUGGCGAACGGGUGAGUAACGCGUGAGGAACCUGCCUCAAAGAGGGGGACAACAGUUGGAAACGACUGCUAAUACCGCAUAAGACCACGGUACCGCAUGGUACAGUGGUAAAAACUCCGGUGGUAUGAGAUGGACCCGCGUCUGAUUAGGUAGUUGGUGGGGUAACGGCCUACCAAGCCGACGAUCAGUAGCCGACCUGAGAGGGUGACCGGCCACAUUGGGACUGAGACACGGCCCAA